AUCCAGCUGACCAGUCUCAAAUAGGACAUAACGUGCUUCCUGGAU
rnacentral:hammerhead_ribozyme from 1 species